rnacentral:lncRNA from 1 species
CUAAUGUAAAUACAGUGCUCCUGUAAAAUUCUCAAAAACUGGAUUAAGAAAACAAGGACGUCCUGGGAGGAGAACUGUGGGCAUGACGCUGCCCUGAUAUCCUAGCUUGAGUCACUCUCCUCCUUUCAGGGCAGGAAUAAAGAGAGGCUUGUAAAAUAGGAGGAAGAUGGUCAAAGGACAAGGUGCUUGUUGUACAAGCAUGAAGGCCUGAGUUCAAAUUCUCGGCACCCUGAGAAGCCAGGCAUGGACCUGUAACCCCAGAACUGCAGCAUGGGGACAGCAGGAUCUCUGGGGCUCUUUGACCAGUCAAUCUAGCUAAAGCAAGAGCCCCAGGUUCAGUGAGAGACUCUCAAGGUGAAGAGGUGACUGAGGAAAACAUCCCAGUGUCAACCUCUGGUCUUCCCCUCAUGCUCCCACAAGCAAGUGCACAAGCACACAGAUGUGUGAACACUGGCACACACACACACACACACACACACACACACACACAGAAACACAGAAACAGCUCACUCCUUGUCCUACACCAGGUACCCAUGUUUCAUUUCCUACAAGGAAGACAGAGGCAAAGUGUAUGUCCUACUGAUACCCUCACUUGGUACUUCCAGAUUCGAACGGGCACACAGAGGCACAGAAUCACAUCCACCUCAGCCCUGAGGAACUUGCAGUGGGCCAUAAGCAAGCUACUGCAAAGGCCAUUUUCAAGCAAAGCUGCAUCCAGCCGCUUUAUGUGGGAAGCAGUGGGCUUUUCGUGAAGGUCCCUUCAGGUUGAGAUGCUCCUUUAUCGUUCCUGGUGGAAUUUAUUCUGGAAUAACAUAACGCGCAGAACAUAAGCGCCCAUGGCUGUGGAAAGUAUAG